AUGCCACGAAAGAGCCUGAAAUCCCGUACAAAAAAGGAGCAAUGGAGAUUGCGAAAAGAAGGUGACAAAUCUUUUGAUACCAGUCAGACGGCUGUCAGUAGUGACUGUACAUCCUAUGAGAAAACAAACAACACUUCAUUGAGAGUCUUACACAGUCAAUCAGAUCUCAGCUUUUCAGAGUACAGCAGAGAAAGCCAAUGUCUUGCCCAUUCACUGAUGUUUCUUGCCCGCCUGCAAGAGACAGAUGAAGUGGUUCGAGGAAAUCUUGAUGAUGUUAUCAGAAAUGGAGACGUGUUGUACCAUCGAAUGAGACCCAGAUUGGAGGAAAAUGAGAGAUUCACCAGUAGGCUUUUCAAUUUUGAUGACCUGCCUGAUACAGUUGAGACUGACCAAUGCCAUUACACUGUGAUGAGAUCCAUUCCAUCGAGCGGAUUCUUACUGCAAGAUGCACCUGAGGGUUGGGAAGACUAUGUAAACCUCUCACUUCGGCUUGAAGGUCUUGGAACUGCCUAUUCACAGGCCUUGUUGAUUGUUGGCAGUUUGUGCAUAAGUGUUUUCCAAGACAGACAUGGCCAAUUUGGAUUUUUUCAUCCACAUUCUCAAAAUGCCAGUGGAGCAUGCUGUGGGAGGAAUGAGAAAGCUGUGGUGGUUACUUCCGACACGGUGACAGACCUGGCAAACCAAUUGGUGCAGUUCUUCUACAGUUCAUUGCACCUUGAUGCAGAUAAACAGUAUAAUCUUUUACCAGUCUUCUUUAACAAAGUAACAUCUGAAGACCAUAUCAAGGCAGUAAGUGCAAUAGAGAGUAAACGGAAAAGUGUGCCGCAUCGUUCUUCUCAGCCUAAGGUGUCCCUGAAACUUGACAAAUUUAGAAGAAAAAGAGUUGCUAGGAGACUGAGGAGGCUACAGAUGCAACAGGCACUAAAUGAAAAGAAGGAAAGAGGCGAGUUGGAGGGAGCACAGCACAUUAGAGAUGCUGAAGGAGAAGGAUAUCUGCUGCAUCCAUCUGAGAAGAUGACUGCCUCCACAGCCCAAUACUGGAAUGACCCUGCUGGCAGGCAGAGAAAAAAGCGAAGCUGUAGAAAUCAGUACAGGGAUAAUCCUACUUUCCAGGAGACAAAGAAACAGCGCAUAAGAGAACGUUACUGGCUUGAUCCUGUUUUCAAAGAGAGGCAAAAACAGCGCAUGAGAGAUCGUUACUGGAAUGAUCCCGUGUACCGGCAAAAACAAAAACAGCGUGUCAGAGAAUGUUACCGGACUGACCCCGCUUUCCGGUUGAGACAUAAGGAGUAUGCGAGAUUGAGAAACCAGUUUAAGGCCACUGAAAAUGUUUCUGAUCAGAUCAUCAAUGGCCAUAGUAACACAGAAGAAUGCCACUGA
rnacentral:lncRNA from 1 species